rnacentral:rRNA from 1 species
AGUGAACGCUGGCGGUAGGCCUAACACAUGCAAGUCGAACGGCAGCACAGUAAGAGCUUGCUCUUACGGGUGGCGAGUGGCGGACGGGUGAGGAAUACAUCGGAAUCUACUUUUUCGUGGGGGAUAACGUAGGGAAACUUACGCUAAUACCGCAUACGACCUACGGGUGAAAGCAGGGGAUCUUCGGACCUUUCGCGAUUGUAUGAGCCGAUGUCGGAUUAGCUAGUUGGCGGGGUAAAGGCCCACCAAGGCGACGAUCCGUAGCUGGUCUGAGAGGAUGAUCAGCCACACUGGAACUGAGACACGGUCCAGACUCCUACGGGAGGCAGCAGUGGGGAAUAUUGGACAAUGGGCGCAAGCCUGAUCCAGCCAUACCGCGUGAGUGAAGAAGGCCUUCGGAUUGUAAAGCCCUUUUGUUGGGAAAGAAAAGCAGCGUGUUAAUACCCCGCUGUUCUGACGGUACCCAAAGAAUAAGCACCGGCUAACUUCGUG